UACGAAGGGGGCUAGCGUUGUUCGGAAUUACUGGGCGUAAAGCGCACGUAGGCGGACUAUUAAGUCAGGGGUGAAAUCCCCGGGCUCAACCCGGGAACUGCGUCCGAUACUGGAAGGCUUGAAUCCGGGAGAGGGAUGCGGAAUUCCAGGUGUAGCGGUGAAAUGCGUAGAUAUCUGGAGGAACACCGGUGGCGAAGGCGGCAUCCUGGACCGGCAUUGACGCUGAGGCGCGAAAGCCAGGGGAGCAAACGGG
rnacentral:rRNA from 1 species